rnacentral:misc_RNA from 1 species
GAUGAAGAACGUAGCGAAAUGCGAUAAUUAAUGUGAAUUGCAGAAUUCCGUGAAUCAUCGAGUCUUUGAACGCACAUUGCGCCUCAUGGUAUUCCGUGAGGCAUGCCCAUCUCAGCGUUAGAAAAUAUUCUCAAAUUUUAGUUUUGUGCUAAAAUUUGGAUCAUGUCAAGGAAGCUAUUACUAUUAUUGUGAUCGCUCUUUGGAAAUUGAUAGGUCUUUGAGUUGCUACUCAUAGAACGUGAUGAAUCUUUCUUCGUUCUAUUGUAAUUCACUCUGGUAGUCCUAAAACUUGUAUGCCUGUGGCAUAUCUUGUAAUUUGACCUGAGAUUGGGUAGGGAUACCCGCUGAACUUAAGCAUAUCAAUAAGCGGAGGA